GACGAACGCUGGCGGCGUGCUUAACACAUGCAAGUCGAACGGAAAGGCCUCUUUCGGGGGGUACUCGAGUGGCGAACGGGUGAGUAACACGUGAGUAACCUGCCCUUGACUUUGGGAUAACUUCAGGAAACUGGGGCUAAUACCGGAUAGGAGCUCCUGCUGCAUGGUGGGGGUUGGAAAGUUUCGGCGGUUGGGGAUGGACUCGCGGCUUAUCAGCUUGUUGGUGGGGUAGUGGCUUACCAAGGCUUUGACGGGUAGCCGGCCUGAGAGGGUGACCGGCCACAUUGGGACUGAGAUACGGCCCAGACUCCUACGGGAGGCAGAAGUGGGGAAUAUUGCACAAGGGGUGGAAGCCUGAUGCAGCAACGCCGUGUGCGGGAUGACGGCCUUCGGGUUGUAAACCGCUUUCGCUCAUGACGAAGCUUUGUGUGACGGUAGUGGGUAAAGAAGCACCGGCUAACUACGUG
rnacentral:rRNA from 1 species